GCGUGAUAAUACAUGAACACACGCAAGACGGAAAAGCAAUGAGUGAUUUGUGCUGGAAAUCAGGUUAGUGGCGGACGGGUGCGUAACACGUAGGUAACCUGCCCUGUGCUUGGGAAUAACUCCGGGAAACCGGUGCUAAUGCCGAAUAAUAUCGCCUGUCGGCAUCGAGAGGCGAUCAAAGAAUUUUGGCACAGGAUGGGCCUGCGCCGGAUUAGCUGGUUGGUGAGGUAACGGCUCACCAAGGCGACGAUCCGUAGCCGACCUGAGAGGGUGAUCGGCCACACUGGAACUGAGACACGGUCCAGACUCCUACGGGAGGCAGCAGUGGGGAAUAUUGCACAAUGGGGGAAACCCUGAUGCAGCAACGCCGCGUGAGCGAUGAAGGCUUUCGAGUCGUAAAGCUCUGUCCUAUGGGAAGAUGAUGACGUACC
rnacentral:rRNA from 1 species